rnacentral:rRNA from 1 species
UACGUAGGGGGCAAGCGUUAUCCGGAUUUACUGGGUGUAAAGGGAGCGUAGACGGCAUGGCAAGUCAGAUGUGAAAGCCCGGGGCUCAACCCCGGGACUGCAUUUGAAACUGUCAGGCUGGAGUGCAGGAGAGGUAAGCGGAAUUCCUAGUGUAGCGGUGAAAUGCGUAGAUAUUAGGAGGAACACCAGUGGCGAAGGCGGCUUACUGGACUGUAACUGACGUUGAGGCUCGAAAGCGUGGGGAUCAAACAGG